rnacentral:rRNA from 1 species
GACGAACGCUGGCGGCGUGCCUAAUACAUGCCAGUAGAACGCACAGUUUAUACCGUAGCUUGCUACACCAUAGACUGUGAGUUGCGAACGGGUGAGUAACGCGUAGGUAACCUGCCUGGUAGCGGGGGAUAACUAUUGGAAACGAUAGCUAAUACCGCAUAAUAUUAAUUAUUGCAUGAUAAUUAAUUGAAAGGUGCAAUUGCACCACUACCAGAUGGACCUGCGUUGUAUUAGCUAGUAGGUGAGGUAACGGCUCACCUAGGCGACGAUACAUAGCCGACCUGAGAGGGUGAUCGGCCACACUGGGACUGAGACACGGCCCAGACUCCUACGGGAGGCAGCAGUAGGGAAUCUUCGGCAAUGGACGAAAGUCUGACCGAGCAACGCCGCGUGAGUGAAGAAGGUUUUCGGAUCGUAAAGCUCUGUUGUAAGAGAAGAGCGGGUGUGAGAGUGGAAAGUUCACACUGUGACGGUAUCUUACCAGAAAGGGACGGCUAACUACGUG